rnacentral:rRNA from 1 species
GAUGAACGCUGGCGGCGUGCCUAAUACAUGCAAGUCGAGCGAACGGACGAGAAGCUUGCUUCUCUGAUGUUAGCGGCGGACGGGUGAGUAACACGUGGAUAACCUACCUAUAAGACUGGGAUAACUUCGGGAAACCGGAGCUAAUACCGGAUGAUAUUUUGAACCGCAUGGUUCAAAAGUGAAAGACGGUCUUGCUGUCUCUUAUAGAUGGAUCCGCGCUGCAUUAGCUAGUUGGUAAGGUAACGGCUUACCAAGGCAACGAUGCAUAGCCGACCUGAGAGGGUGAUAGGCCACACUGGAACUGAGACACGGUCCAGACUACUACGGGAGGCAGCAGUAGGGAAUCUUCCGCAAUGGGCGAAAGCAUGACGGAGCAACGCCGCGUGAGUGAUGAAGGUCUUCGGAUCGUAAAACUCUGUUAUUAGGGAAGAACAUAUGUGUAAGUAACUGUGCACAUCUUGACGGUACCUAAUCAGAAAGCCACGGCUAACUACGUG